UACGUAGGGUGCGAGCGUUAAUCGGAAUUACUGGGCGUAAAGUGUGCGCAGGCGGCCGAGCAAGUCGAGUGUGAAAGCCCCGGGCUUAACCUGGGAACUGCGCUCGAAACUACUUGGCUGGAGUGUGGCAGAGGGAGGUGGAAUUCCACGUGUAGCGGUGAAAUGACGUAGAGAUGUGGAGGAACACCGAUGGCGAAGGCAGCCUCCUGGGCCAACACUGACGCUCAUGCACGAAAGCGUGGGGAGCAAACAGG
rnacentral:rRNA from 1 species